rnacentral:rRNA from 1 species
UACGUAGGUGGCAAGCGUUGUCCGGAAUUAUUGGGCGUAAAGCGCGCGCAGGCGGCCUUUUAAGUCUGAUGUGAAAGCCCCCGGCUCAACCGGGGAGGGCCAUUGGAAACUGGAAGGCUUGAGUACAGAAGAGAAGAGUGGAAUUCCACGUGUAGCGGUGAAAUGCGUAGAGAUGUGGAGGAACACCAGUGGCGAAGGCGACUCUUUGGUCUGUAACUGACGCUGAGGCGCGAAAGCGUGGGGAGCAAAC